GACGAACGCUGGCGGCGUGCUUAACACAUGCAAGUCGAGCGAACGGACGCGAAGCUUGUUUCUUUGUUGUUUGCGGCGGACGGGAGUGUAACAUGUGGAUACUCCCCUUAUAAUUCUGGGAUCUUUUCGGGACUCCGGAGCUUACCCCAGAUAAUCUUCUGCUGCGUAUGGUUGAAAAGAGAAAGUCGGUCUUGCUGUAUCUUCUCGCUGCAUCUGCGCUGCAUUGGCUAGUUGGUAAGGUAACGGCUUUCCAAGGCUAGGAUGCGUAACCGACCUGAGGGGGUGAUCGGCCACACUGGAGCUGGAACACGGUCCAGACUCCUACGAGAGGCAGCAGUAGGGAAUCUUCCGCAAUAGUCGGGAGCCUGGCGGAGCAGCGCCACGUGAGUGGUAGAAAUCUUCGGAUCGUAAAACUCUGUUAUGGGGUAAAAACAUAUGUGUAAGUAACUGUGCACAUCUUGACGGUACCUAAUCAAAAAGCCACGGCUAACUACGUG
rnacentral:rRNA from 1 species